UACGGGGGGGGCUAGCGUUGCUCGGAAUUAUUGGGCGUAAAGGGUAGGUAGGUGGUCUCAUUUGUCCGGGGUGAAAGCCUUGAGCUUAACUCAAGAAGUGCCCCGGAAACGGUGAGACUGGAGUCUUGGAGAGGGUCGUGGAAUUCCCGGUGUAGCGGUGAAAUGCGUAGAGAUCGGGAGGAACACCAGAGGCGAAAGCGGCGACCUGGACAAGUACUGACACUCAACUACGAAAGCGUGGGGAGCAAACAGG
rnacentral:rRNA from 1 species